rnacentral:tRNA from 1 species
AGGCUCUUAGCUCAGUUGGUCAGAGCAUUCCGCUCAUAACGGAUCGGUCGUCGGUUCAAGUCCGACAGAGCCUACCA